rnacentral:lncRNA from 1 species
GCAUAAGCCACCCCAAGAGAUCUUUGCCCGAUAUAGGGAACCUGGUCUUGGAGUCGUUGGCUACAUUUCUAUGGGCACGGGCUUAACCGGCCGAAAAAUCAUCACCCCGACCACUAGCGCCGGCGAUCGACCCACCACCGUUGGUGAGUCAUUGCGGGACUAUCCGACCCCCGUGGGGGCUGCGGACACACCCCACCUCAGGUUCGAGGGGGGCCAUGUCGGGGGGCAGCGGAUUUCUACCCCUUAAAGAGCUAAAAAAACUUUGUCAAUUUGCUACUAGGCAACAUUCUUUUUUUUGAACAUAAAAGACCACAAGGGUCAACUCAUAUUAUUACAUAACAUCACCAAUUACAGCUUCAUGGAUAUCCGACGGAUAAUCCAUAUAAAAAAAACAGUUGUUACCUUCACUAUACAUUUUUUUACAAAGUAAAUGGGCAACAUUAUUGCAAGACCGAACGGUCCAAAUUAACUCGGCUGAAAGAAAGAAAUUAAAAUCUGCUAUACAAUCUUUAAUACGGGUGCCUAUAUUUGUGACGUCAUUGGCUAUAUUACUUAGCCUGUUGACCAUUCCAACAUGGUCCGUCUCAAAAAGAACAUGGCCAUUUAUUUUUAAUUUACGCGCCACUUUAAUACUUUCUUCGAAGGCCACACAUUCAGCCUUUUCCACCGACAACCUUCCCUCUUUAAACCCUCCACCGCCUCCUAAAACAAAGCCCUCUUCAUCUCUUAUGAUCGUCCCAUACCCGAUUCUAUUUUCGCCCACUGUAGCAUCAAAAUUUAUUUUAAUGAAGCCCUUUGGAGGUUUAACCCACUGUUUCUCCAGGCCAGUGUGUGAAAUUAAAGGAGCAUUCACCAUGUUACAAAUUAGAAAUUCCUUAUUCAGAUUGCUUGCUCUUUCUCAUAUUACUUGAGCCUCCUCUUCUUUUCCCCUAAAAACGUAAUUAUUUCUAUUAUUCCAGCAGUUCCAUAAUGUUGUCAUUAAGUCAGCCAUAGCCCUCUUGUCAAGGACACGCAUCAUGUCUUCCAACCAAUCAAUGCAAUGGUCAUAUUUCUUUGUGAUAAAGCUCCUGGACCAUCCCCCUGUCGAGAGAACUGCACUCGACGUUGGGCAGUCUUUUAAAGCAUGUAACACCGUUUCUGUCUUGGCUCCACAUCUCAGACAUCCCUUGUCAAAGCCCUGUCUGAUGGAAGCUAUUUUACUGUUAGUUGGGAGAAUUUCGUGUCCCACACGCCAAGUAAAAACCCGUAUCUUCGGUAAAAUAUCAAGCUUCCAUAGUGCUUUCCAAAAAAACCUAUGUGGGCCAUAUCCCAUCUUUUUUAACAGCAGCCAAUAAUAAGUAGACUUUGAGGUAUAGCAUCUAUGCAGAUUAUGGAACCAUAUUAUUCUAUCGUCAUGGUCUAUUCUCCCAAUUGGGAGGUUGCAAAUUUUAUCCCCCCAAUCCUGCCCGUACAACUUAAAGAUUUUAUCCCUAUUCCAGCUUCUCUGAUCCUUAUUCCAUAGGUCUGACACUCUUCUAUCAUUCAGGUCAAGCAAAUCCAUAUUAAGAGCUCCACCGUUUAAUCCUUCCAUCCCCCAGUUAUCAGCCCUUAUGUUUAUCUUAUUUCCAUUUCCUACCUGCCACCCGAAUCCAUUUUUGAGGGUAUUUGCUGCAGCUGCAAUGCUAGUCCACUUAAAAGACGCUUUAUCAACCUUCUUGGAGUUGAAUAUAUUGCCAUCAGGGAAAUACUUAGACGACAACACUUUAUAGCAAAGUGUGUCUUUGUUAUUAAUAAGGCUCCAGACUUGCCUCCCCAGUAGAGCCAAGUUAAACAGUCUGAUGUCCGUUAUGCCAAUUCCACCCAUUCCUUUCGGGUGACACAAUGUUUUCCACGGAAGCAUCGUCCAAAAUCUGCCUUUAUCUUUGCCCGUCUACCAUGCUCUGCUCAGCUUGGAUUGUAUGUCAUCCAGCACACCUCUAGGAGCCUUAAAGAUCGACAAAGCAUAUGUUGGUAUGGACUGAAGAACUGCUUUUAUGAAGACUUCCUUACCGCCAAAUGAAAUGAGCCUUUUGGUCUAGCUGUUUAAUCUGCAUGACAGCUUGUUAAUUAUCUCCUGGAAAGCCACUCUUUUCUUUUUUCCUAUAGGAAGUGGAAGGCCGAGAUAGUUAUCCAGCUUCUCAACCACCUUCAUGCCAAGAAUUUCACCGAAAUUGUGUCUCUGUUCCCUUGGAGUAUUAGGACUAAAAAUAACCAUAGAUUUUUCAUAAUUAAUUUCUUGUCCUGAAACAUUAGCAAAAACCUUCAGUAUAUGGCUAAGACAGGUAAUAUCACUUUGCUUAUUUUUAACAAACAGUAGAGCAUCGUCAGCAAAAAAUAAGUGGUUAACUCUAGGUCCUUUAAUACUAGCCCUAAUUCCUUGUAAUGAUUUUUUAUUCUGAGCCUGAAUCAUCAUCCUUGACAAGGCUUCCAUACAGAAAAGAAACAGAUAAGGGGAUAAAAGGAUCCCCUUGACGGAGACCCCUCUCCGGAAUAAUAAUGUCCGAUAACAAAUUAUUACACUUAACAAAAUAUCUUACCGACCGAACGCAACACAUAAUUUUGUCUAUCCACUGCUCAGCAAACCCCAUUUUCUUCAUUACCUUCUCGAUAAAAUCCCACUCCACUCAAUCAUAUGCUUUACUCAUAUCAAUCUUGAUUGCUAUCCCUUUAUUUGGACCAUUUUUGGAGCUCGGAAGGUAAUGUAGGAGUUCAUGUGCGAUUAAGAUAUUAUCAUGUAUCAUCCUUCCUGGUACGAAAGCGCUUUUGACUGAUACAUCCUGGGAGGGCAACUUUAAGCCGAUUAGCCAAGACCUUUGAAACAAUCUUGUAAAUAAAUCUACAUAAACUAAUGGGACGAUAGUUAGUAAUUUCACAUGGAUCACGAAUUUUUGGAAUUAAUAUAAUCAUUGUCUCAUUCAUAUCAGCGAUGUCAUUUUUUCCCUUAAGAAUGUCCAGAUAGAAUUGAACAGUUUCAUUUCCAACAAUCUCCCAAUGAUUUUUGAAAAAACUUCCCAAUAGACCAUAACCCCCGGAGCUUUGUGAGGGUUCAUUUGUUUAAUAGCUUGGAGAACUUCAUUUUCCGUGUAGUCCAUCGUAAGCCACUCAUUCAUCUCUGUAGUAACACAUUCCUGAAUGUACUCCAUAUCAUGGUUUUCAACGUUCUGACCAUUUGACGAAAGAGUCUCCAAAAGUAAUUUUUAGCCACAUUGCUGAUAUCUAUACUAUCAGUUACCCACUUCCCAUCCUCAUUCUUAAGCUCUAGCAUGAAAAUAUCUCGUAUUCCUAUCCCCAUCUCUUAACCAUUGAGACCUUGACCUUUGAGCCCAGUAUUUUUCUUCCCUGGCAUAAAGUUGGCUAAGUCUGCUCCUCAUCUCCCUUAAAAUGAUCACACUAUCGUCCCUUGUUUCAGAAUCGAUGGCCCGGUCAAUUUUAUUUUCCAACUUCCGCAUAUCAUUUUUCAUUUUCCCAUAUCUAUCCCUCUGCCACGGGCCCAGGACUCCCCGAAUCUUCUCUAACUUGUUAACAUAAUUUGUAGCUUCUCGGUUCCACUCACUGCUAAUAACACUUUUUGCCUUACUAUCCGUAGCCCAACAUUCUUCAAAUCUGAAGCAUAAUCUUUGGCCUCUAGGGUACUCCUUAGGCUUACUGCCCCACAUGUCCCAUAUGAUCGCAUCAUGAUCAGACUGUGUUUGCCGCACCACCUUAGAGGUCAUAAAGGGAUAUUUCUCAAUCAUAGAUACCGAGGUAACAAACCUAUCUAACCUUUCUUUUAUCAUGUUCCCCCCGCUUCUGUUGUUGACCCAAGUAAACCACCCUCUAACAGGUUUAAUAUCCACAAGAGCUAAAUUGUCUAGGACAUCUUUAAAUUCAUCCAUAUGUGCCCUCACCUUCCUUCUCCCUCCAUCUUUUUCAGCUUCAUUCAGGAUAGCAUUAAAGCCCCCCCAACCACCCAAUCCUCCCUCACCAAACCACCUACCUUUUCCAACAUUUCCCAAGAAUUGCUUCUUAAAUUUGGAUUCGCAUGCCCGUAAAAUCCAGUUACACGGAUGUUAUUAUGAUUUUUCAACCGAACCAGGGAAUCAAUGUGAUGCUUAGAGAAACUUUGAAUGGUAACAUCUAUUCCUUCCUCCCACAUUAAAGCAAGACCGCCGCUACGUCCUUCCGAGUUCACGGCUAAACCACUCUGCAUCCUGCAUCUAUUUUGAACCCGACUGAACUCAUUUGCACUCAUCUUUGCUUCGCUCAGGAAAACAAUAUCAGGUUUAUAAGCAGCCAGCAAUUGCUUUAGCUCCCUGACAGUCGCGGUAUUCCCCAAACCUCGACAAUUCUAACAAAAAAACUUCAUGGCAUGAAGAAACCCCAGACCAAGCCACAACCGAAUCAAGAACCGAGAGAAGAGAAAAGGAGAACGAAGCACUCCACCGGACAGAAAUCAAACCAGCCAACAGAGUCUGCAAAAUAAAGACACCAAACAAAAGAAAUCGAAGCGCUGUACCAAUCCAACACAAGAUCGAAAAGAGAACCUCAAAACCCUACAGAGACACCUUUCGAUAAACACCCACCCUCAUGCUUCAAGACAGAGAGAAACAUGCAAGAAAUUGAAACCCGAAGCAGGAAACUACAGUCAAGAGAUACCCAAGAGAUUAAAAACAACUUACACAAAAUCUGAAGAAAACUAAGACAACCGAGUAACAAUAUAAAAAAAGAAUAUUGUAAACAAAAUUCCUGUUACAGCAAGAUUAACCCUACAAUGAGAAUAUCUUGAAACAAGUCAAAAGAAGACUCUACCAUUAAUGUUAUCUAUGCAAAAAGAAUCCGAACCAUUAAUGGCGAUCAUGAAAAAGAUUCAAAAAACCAUGCAUGAUACGUACAAACCCCAUGCACCCUUACGAAAGAAAAAGAACAAUAAAAAAGACCACAAGAAAAUGACAAAACCUCGGCAAGCCCAAUAAAGGAUCUCGUCAAAACCGUACAUGCAAGCCAAUCAAACACAAACGUAAGGGUGUAAAACGAAACCCUUAAUCCAUGCAGAAACGACUAAAAAGAACGUAGAGAAGCCAACUUCACCGCCGCUUUUCUAGUCCACCGUGGGACCCGCCACAAAGCUAUCAGCGACUUAUCCCGAAACAACAAGCACAACACCCGAAAAAAUGAAAACGCACCCAAAGAACACCAAGAAUCGAAAGAAAAAAAAACAAAAAAGGACAAGAAUCACCGUGAAGAUCACUCGAAAGCACUGCAAGAACUUCUUAUCCAAGCGUUUAUCAAACAGGGUCUGACUAUGCUAGAAAGAGAGCGUGACGAACCCCGAGUGUAUUGCCCGUACUCCUCAAUAAUCCUACCACCGCUAACCCCGAAAAGAAACACGGAACCCUUUCACAAUCCCAGCAAAAAUCUUACAAGCUUGAAAAUCACGAUAACUCGGCCAGUCAAAGUAGGGUCAGAACAUGCAACACCUAUGAAAACAACCAAUCACCCGCAGGCCGCAACCACCACUUCAAACCCCACCCUACCGCCAACUGGGGCACCCCAAAAACCCCUAAACUGCCAUAAAAUUCAAAAGAAUAAUAGGCAGACACACGCUAUCAGGCAACAUUUGUAUGUCUGAAACGGGGAAACUUUUCUUUAGCCCGUACAUCCGAGGCACCAGGGUACCCCUGCUACUCGAGGCACCCGCGCAUCCAACGUCCUAGGUUGCCGAUGGUGUCCAAGGCUCCCGCACAUACAAGCACCAAGGUACCAAUGCUGCUCGAGGCUCCCGCACAUCCAAGGCACCAAGGUGCCGAUGGUGCCCAAGGCUCCCGCACGACCAAGGUCCUAGGUUGCCGAUGGUGUCCGAGGCUCCCGCACAUCCAAGCACCAAGGUGCAAAUGGUGCCCGAGGUUCUCGCACGAUCAAGGCCUAGGUUGCCGAUGGUGCCCGAGGCUCCCGCACGACUAGGGGCCUAGGUUGCCGAUGGUGCCCGAGGCUCCCGCACGACCAAGGGCCUAGGUUGCCGAUGGUGUCCGAAGCUCCCGCACAUCCAAGCACCAAGGUGCCAAUGGUGGCCGAGGCUCCCGCACGACCAAGGGUCUAGGUGCUGAUGGUCCCGAGGCUCUCGCACGACCAAGGGCCUAGGUUGCUGAUGGUGCUCGAGGCUCCCGCACGACCAGGGGCCUAGGUUGCCGAUGGUGCCCCAAGCUCCCGCACGACCAAGGGCCUAGGUUUCCGAUGGUGCCCGAGGCUCCUGCACGACCAAAGGCCUAGGAGCCGAUGGUGCCCGAGGCUCUCACAUGACCAAGGACCUAGGUUGCCGAUGGUACCCGAGGCUCCCGCACGACCAGUGGCCUAGGUUGCAGAUGGUGCCCGAAGCUCCUGCACGACCAAUGGCCUAGGUUGCCGAUGGUGCCCGAGGCUCCCGCACGACCAAGGGCUUAGGUGCCGAUGGUGCCCGAGGCUCCCGUACGACCAAGGGCCUAGGUUGCCGAUGGUACCGAGGCUCUUGCACGACCAGGGGCCUAGGUUGCCGAUGGUGCGCGAAGCUCCCGCACGACCAAGGGGCUAGGUUGCUGAUGGUGUCCGAGGCUCACGACCAAGGGCCUAGGUGCCGAUGGUGUCCGAGGCUCCCGCACGACCAGGGGCCUAGGUUGCCGAUGGUGCCCGAGGCUCCCGUACGACCAGGGGCCUAGGUUGCCGAUGGUGCCCGAGGCUCCCGUACGGCCAAGGGCCUAGGUUACCGAUGGUGCCCGAGGCUCCCGCACGACCAAGGGCCAAGGUGCUGAUGGUGCCCGAGGCUCCCGCACGACCAAGGGCCUAGGUGCCGAUGGUACCCAGGCUCUCGCACGACCAGGGGCCUAGGUUGCCGAUGGUGCCCGAGGCUCCCGCACGACCAAGGGCCUAGGUUACCGAUGGUGACCGAGGCUCCUGCACAUCCAAGCACUAAUGUGCUGAUGGUGCCGGAGGCUCCCGCACGACCAAGGGUCUAGGUGCCGAUGGUGCUUGAGGCUCCCACACGACCGACGUCCUAGGUUACCGAUGGCGUCCAAGGCUCCAGCAUGUCCAAGCAACAAUGUGCCGAUGCUCCCGCACCAUCGACGUCCUAGGUUACCAAGGGUACCUGAUGCUUCAGCACGACCAAGGGCCCAAGGUGCCGGAGGCUCUUGUUCCAAAAGGGGAGGGACCAGGAUGAUUCAAAAGGGGAAGGACCGGGAAGACUUGUAGCAUCAUUUUUGAUAUUCCGGGAUGGCUCACCGGAGCACCGUCGGGAUGGCUCGCCGAAACACCACCGGAAUGGAUCGCCGGAGCACCGCCGGGAACCUAAUCGGUGAUGGGGGCACCGACGUCUGGGCAUGAAUUGGGGGUGGGCAGUGCCCUGGACAACCCCUGUUCGCCUCAAUAUCACCUCCCCCCUAAAAAUCUAAAAAAAUUGGUCAAUGUGCUACCAGGCGACAUUCAUGUGUCUGAAACAGGGAUACUUUAUGGUGCCGACGCUUCUGCACCAAC